UACGUAGGUGGCAAGCGUUGUCCGGAAUUAUUGGGCGUAAAGCGCGCGCAGGCGGUCCUUUAAGUCUGAUGUGAAAGCCCACGGCUCAACCGUGGAGGGUCAUUGGAAACUGGAGGACUUGAGUACAGAAGAGGAAAGCGGAAUUCCACGUGUAGCGGUGAAAUGCGUAGAGAUGUGGAGUAACACCAGUGGCGAAGGCGGCUUUCUGGUCUGUAACUGACGCUGAGGCGCGAAAGCGUGGGGAGCAAACAGG
rnacentral:rRNA from 1 species